GAGUUUGAUCAUGGCUCAGAUUGAACGCUGGCGGCAUGCCUUACACAUGCAAGUCGAACGGCAGCAUGAUCUAGCUUGCUAGAUUGAUGGCGAGUGGCGAACGGGUGAGUAAUACAUCGGAACGUGCCCUGUAGUGGGGGAGUAACUAGUCGAAAGAUUAGCUAAUACCGCAUACGACCUGAGGGUGAAAGUGGGGGACCGCAAGGCCUCAUGCUAUAGGAGCGGCCGAUGUCUGAUUAGCUAGUUGGUGGGGUAAAGGCCCACCAAGGCGACGAUCAGUAGCUGGUCUGAGAGGACGAUCAGCCACACUGGGACUGAGACACGGCCCAGACUCCUACGGGAGGCAGCAGUGGGGAAUUUUGGACAAUGGGCGAAAGCCUGAUCCAGCAAUGCCGCGUGUGUGAAGAAGGCCU
rnacentral:rRNA from 1 species